AGUGAACGCUGGCGGUAGGCCUAACACAUGCAAGUCGAACGGCAGCACAGGAGAGCUUGCUCUCUGGGUGGCGAGUGGCGGACGGGUGAGGAAUACAUCGGAGUCUACUUUUUCGUGGGGGAUAACGUAGGGAAACUUACGCUAAUACCGCAUGCGACCUACGGGUGAAAGCAGGGGACCUUCGGGCCUUGCGCGAUUGAAUGAGCCGAUGUCGGAUUAGUUAGUUGGCGGGGUAAAGGCCCACCAAGGCGACGAUCCGUAGCUGGUCUGAGAGGAUGAUCAGCCACACUGGAACUGAGACACGGUCCAGACUCCUACGGGAGGCAGCAGUGGGGAAUAUUGGACAAUGGGCGCAAGCCUGAUCCAGCCAUACCGCGUGGGUGAAGAAGGCCUUCGGGUUGUAAAGCCCUUUUGUUGGGAAAGAAAUCCAGCUGGCUAAUACCCGGUUGGGAUGACGGUACCCAAAGAAUAAGCACCGGCUAACUUCGUGCCAGCCGCCGCGGUAA
rnacentral:rRNA from 1 species